GAUGAACGCUGGCGGCGUGCCUAAUACAUGCAAGUCGAGCGAACAGACGAGGAGCUUGCUCCUCUGACGUUAGCGGCGGACGGGUGAGUAACACGUGGAUAACCUACCUAUAAGACUGGGAUAACUUCGGGAAACCGGAGCUAAUACCGGAUAAUAUAUUGAACCGCAUGGUUCAAUAGUGAAAGACGGUUUUGCUGUCACUUAUAGAUGGAUCCGCGCCGCAUUAGCUAGUUGGUAAGGUAACGGCUUACCAAGGCAACGAUGCGUAGCCGACCUGAGAGGGUGAACCGCCACAAUGGAAAUGAGAAAAGGGCCAGACUCCUAAGGGAGGCAGGAGUAGGGAAACUUCCGCAAUGGGCGAAAGCCUGACGGAGCAACGCCGCGUGAGUGAUGAAGGUCUUCGGAUCGUAAAACUCUGUUAUUAGGGAAGAAAAAAUGUGUAAGUAACUAUGCACGUCUUGACGGUACCUAAUCAGAAAGCCACGGCUAACUACGUG
rnacentral:rRNA from 1 species